GCCAAUCACUGGGAGCAGGGGGCGGGGGUUUACUCUUCCUGCUGGGUUGGUAGGAUAAGGGAUAAAAUAUAUCGAGAGGGGGAUCCAAUCCGGUUUGAGCUAGUUCUGGUACUGCUCGGACGUUAAUGUUAAGUUACAGACUGCUCUGGAGGUGUAUAAGACAGAGGUGCAAGGCUGAACCACAUUACGCUGAUUGUCCUAAAAGGCUGUGCUGUUGUGUAAAAUCCGUGCUACCAAAGCAACGAUGGGAAGGAACAAAGCUAGCGCUGAUGCAGACCCAAAUGCUGAGCCAAGGAGAAAAUCUGCAAGAUUAUUAAAAUUGAAAGAGACAGAGGAAAAGCCAGAAAAGCCAGAAAAGAAAAAGGCACCUGCCAAGAAAGAUGUGAAAAAACCAGCAAAGGCUAAGCCAGAGGAGAAGAAAGAAGAACCUCAGGCAGAGACAGAAGAGGCUCCAGCAGAAAACGGGGAGGCCAAAGCUGAGGAGACCACAGCUGCAGAGGAACAGGCGAACGGCACAGAGGAACAGCCAGACGGUGAAGAGGAACAGCCGAAUGGCGAAGAGGAAAAAGAAGCAGAGUAGAAGCGAUACCUCUGAACUCAUUUGCCAAUGCUCCCUGUACCUCCUUUGUUGUAAAAUGCAGAGAAUAUUUUUAUCUACUAUUUUCUUAUGACAACAAUGUUUUUAGGGAUGUGAUUGCAUUUUUUUCCUAAAUACUACAACUUCCAUUCACUCUCAUGACUUGUGUGAAGGGAAGGUCUCUGUCAUUAUGUUCUUUUGGUCAUUUUGUUGUUAGAUUGUAGUUUUGUUUUGUUUUUUUCUGCAUGGCAUGCAAUAAUGCCUUCAUCAGGAAUGGGAGAGUUUACCUGAAACAUUCCCAAAGAAUUUUAAGAGAUUUUGUAACCUGUACUGUGUUGAAUACACAUCAAAAUACUGUUUGUUUGAUAAUGGGAUGAUUUGAAAGUUUGAAGCUUGUAUUCUAUGCUUUAACAAAAUGCCUUGUUCACAAUGUUCACUUUCAUCAUUUUCACAAGGAGUCCGGGAGUUGGUUUUCACUUUAAGGUACAAUUGAGAACGGUUAAAUUAAUCAAUGUUCUAAGCUAUGCUCAAAACAAAAAUGCAUUACAGUUAGUCAUAUUUGAUAUGGUUUUGGGAUUUGUCUACCAAUGUACAGUUUCCUCCUUUAAAAAAAAAAAAAAUGUUUUCUUUGUUUUGGAUGGUAUGAAAUGCCAAUUAAAGUGGGGAAUUUCUUUUAAGUAUUUGUCUUUCAUCAGCUAUAUUGUAUUUAAGUCUGCCUGCAUUGAUCCAUUUACCAGGACAGAUUGCAGAUGUUUCUUUUCUGUUGCCUGGAAUGACGUACUGCUGCUCUUUUUGAUUCACUUUAGUGAGAUUUAGAUAAUAGGAAAAGAAUCCUUGAACUAAUGCCAAUUACUCUGAAUGUUGCAUUUCUCAUUUUGCUUUAUAAGAGAGCUAGUGAAGAGUCUGGCAUAUGGGGUUGAUACAUUUUUGAAAAGGUUGUUGCAUGUGCAUAUUGAACUUUGAUAAAAGAAUAUGGCCAGAUUAUUGUGCUAGGAUCAAGGCUGUGCAAAAGAAAAAAAAAAUGCCACUGAGCACUCACUGUGCUCUCCGGAUAUUAUAGUCCAGAAUGCUAUCUGGCUCUACAUUGUCUAUGCCUUUAAAACUGAUCAAGAACAUGCAUCAUGUAAGAAUUGUAUUAGCUGAUUUAAUGAAAGCCUUGAAACGAGGCAUUGUCAUGAAGAAGAAUCCACUUGAAGUCUUUGAUCGGCGGGUUAUUUCCUAUAAAGUAUUUUCCCAUAUUACAAAAGUUAUGACAUGCUUGUCAUGCAAAGAAGCUUUGACUUUUGGGCUCCUGGGGGCCCCGAUGUAGUUGUCUGCUUGGCCUUGGUGAUAAUCCAGGCUCCAAUCCGACAUGUUUCUAUAGAAUUUAGAAUCUAUUACGGACUGUCCCUUUAGUUUUACUUAAUGUAAUAAUAGACAAAUAAAAUGAAACCAGAAGAAUAUAGAUUUAAAAUACUGAGGAUACAAAGGCAUAUCUUUCCAUUAGAACCUUAUCUAACUAUACAUGUCAGAAUGCUAUUAUUGUCUAUAGCAACAUCUGUACCCAGUGGCUCCAGGCUUGUGACCACUCAUUAGCCUUUAAUGUGGACAUCCAAUAGAUUCAUUUUUAAGGAACUCAACAAAAGAAACAUUUCUCUUCACAAGACUGAAUCAUUAACCAUUUUAAUGGUUUAAACACACAAAAUUAUCCCGUUUUAAGAACAUAAAAAGAAUGAAAAAUGUACGCUACCAU
ensembl:lncRNA